AACUUAACUAAUGACAACACUUUGUCCUCUGCAGGUCCCACGAAGCGCAGAGUCUCAGUCCUCCUGCAGAAACUUGAGGAUCAAACACAAGAAAAAGAAGACCUAAGGAUCUGGAGUUCAGGACCCAGUUGGAUAAAGCAGUAGGCGUAGUACAGAAAAGGUGCUCCCUGGUGGUCAGUUUUGAUAUAGCCUACUUGAGAAAUCUGUGAUUAACUACUGCACAAUAAAGUUUUAAGUACCAGGUCUGAUGUUUGUAAUGAUUUUUCUGGGCAAAGACACCUGUUACCAGUUACAAACAAAACUCACAUUUAAUAAAAGCCAAUGAAGGAUUUUAGAGCAGGAUAGACACGGGAACACAACUGAUAUAAUCAAUUAUUUGACAAUUUUAUCCAGGUCAAAUAUUUGAUCAAACUUUACAAUAUUUUUUUUUUCACACAUUUUUUUAAACAUACUAUACUAUGUCAUAAUUAAUACUGAAACAUGAUAUUUUUAAGAGUUAUAAAGGCUGAUGACUGUUGGUACAAAAGAUCUUCUGGAUCUUUCUGUCCUGCAGCAAAGAGAGAGGAGACGUCCACAACUGUUGGCCCUUUGGUCCAUAGAGGAAUUGUGAUGUUAUACUAAAACAGGAGUGGCUUCUCUCCUGAAGCUGCUGCCCCCGCGACCCAGACCGGGAUGAAGCGGAAGAAAACGACGACGACUAUAAUAUGAAAUUUUUAUCAUACGAUAUUGUGUUUUUUUUUCGUAUUAAAUUAUGAUUUUUUUUCAUACUAUAAUAUUGAAUUUUAAACAUACUAUACUAUGACAUUUUUUUU